rnacentral:rRNA from 1 species
GAUGAACGCUGGCGGCGUGCCUAAUACAUGCAAGUCGAGCGAACGGACGAGAAGCUUGCUUCUCUGAUGUUAGCGGCGGACGGGUGAGUAACACGUGGAUAACCUACCUAUAAGACUGGGAUAACUUCGGGAAACCGGAGCUAAUACCGGAUAAUAUUUUGAACCGCAUGGUUCAAAAGUGAAAGACGGUCUUGCUGUCACUUAUAGAUGGAUCCGCGCUGCAUUAGCUAGUUGGUAAGGUAACGGCUUACCAAGGCAACGAUGCAUAGCCGACCUGAGAGGGUGAUCGGCCACACUGGAACUGAGAACCGGUCCAGACUCAGACGGGAGGCAGCAGUAGGGAAUCUUCCGCAAUGGGCGAAAGCCUGACGGAGCAACGCCGCGUGAGUGAUGAAGGUCUUCGUAUCGUAAAACUCUGUUAUUAGGGAAGAAAAUAUGUGUAAGUAACUGUGCACAUCUUGAGGGUACCUAAUCAGACAGCCAGGGCUAACUACGUG